GCUGGUGUGGCUCAGUGGACAGAGCGUCAGCCGGCGGACUGAAGGGUCCCGGGUUCGAUUCCCGGUCAGGGCA
rnacentral:tRNA from 1 species